UUACGGCCACAUCACAUUGAAACAUUAGUUCCUGUACGAUCACCAAAGUUAAGCAACAUUGAGCCUGGUCAGUACUUAGAGGGGUGACCGCUUAGGGAUACCAGGUGCUGUAAG